rnacentral:rRNA from 1 species
GAAAUCCUGAAGCAGCAACGCCGCGUGGAGGAUGAAGGGUCUAUGACUUGUAAACUCCUGUAAAGAAGGAAAAAAUUCCCAUUAGAUGGGAGAUGAUGGUACUUCUGGAGUAAGCCCCGGCUAACUACGUGCCAGCAGCCGCGGUACUACGUAGGGGGCAAGCGUCGUCCGGAUUUACUGGGAGUAAAGGGGGCUCAGGCGGAUUUGUAAGUCAGAGGUGAAAUCUUACAGCUUAACUGUGAAACUGCCUGUGAUACUGCAAGCCUAGAGUAUGGAAGAGAGUGAUGAAAUAUCUGGUGUAGCAGUGAAAUACGUAGAUAGCAGAUAGAACACCAAUGGCGAAGGCAGUCACUUGGUCCAUUACUGACGCUAAAGCACGAAGGCGUGGGUAGCAAACA